UUGACCUCGAAUCAGGUAGGAAUACCCGCUGAACUUAAGCAUAUCAAUAAGCGGAGGAAAAGAAACCAACUGGGAUUACCUCAGUAACGG
rnacentral:rRNA from 1 species